UCAAGAUGGUGACUCCCCGCGUCCGAUCUUAUGGGACUUGUAGUUUUGAGGUUGCACGUACUCAGAAGAGAGUGAAGGGGGAGUUCACUUCCGAGCUGUGAAAGAAAUUUUUUAAAUAACAAAAACUUUCUAAGACCUAGGAGCGACCCAGGUCCCCCAUUUCCGUUUUCCCACCUCCCAAUAUACUCAUGAGGCCUGUAAAUUCACUUAAGGGACAAGUGCAACAACCCCAGCCUGAGGAGGGCAUGGUAACCAGUCUGAGAUCCCUCAAGGAUGUGAAUCUUCAUCAUGCCACAAACCAAACUACCAUGACCAACAGAUGUGCUAGCUGAAGGUGAAAGGAAUCUGGCAUUGUGAACAGAGAAGGAGUGAAAUGGAUAAAAGCUGUGACCCUGAGAUCAGCUCCAAUAGUGGGGUCUGUAGUCAUUCUUCAAACCUUCCUCUUCUGUAAGUUUCCCCUGGGAAGAGAGGCCCACUGAAAUCCUGGAGGAUGUGCUCUCAGAACUAAUAUGAAAAAGUGAAUUCAAGUGGUACCAGGGUAGAUUACAGUGAAGGCAGCGAUCUGCUGCCUUUAGGAAUGAAGGACCAGUUCCUCCAGUUGCUGGGAGUGCUGCUAGCAGCCUUCCAUUGUUAGCCUUGUUGGGGGAUGGCUGCUGAAGAAAAUUUCUUUGUUCAAGGUCCUAUCUCCUUCUAAGGACAAUUCGCAUCAAUGACUGAUCAAUACUGAGACAUAAAGAUCCAGCCCGCUUGUCCCAACUCUGGAUGACUCUGAAAGACCAUCCCAGCUCCAGGGCUUCCUAUGGGACUAGCUGAGGACUUUGUUGGGACUGCUUCACAAUUCAGCUUCUCCCUCUGCCUAAUCAGCCUUCCUUCUAUUGGUGUUGAUCCCAAGAGCUGUCUAUUAAACAUCUUGUAUGCUAA